rnacentral:rRNA from 1 species
ACAGAGGUGGCAAGCGUUGUUCGGAAUUACUGGGCGUAAAGGGCGCGUAGGCGGCCCCAUAAGUCUCGUGUGAAAGCCCUCGGCUUAACUGAGGAUCUGCACGGGAUACUGUAGGGCUCGAGUUCGGGAGAGGAAAGCGGAAUUCCGGGUGUAGCGGUGAAAUGCGUAGAUAUCCGGAGGAACACCAGUGGCGAAGGCGGCUUUCUGGACCGACACUGACGCUGAGGCGCGAAAGCUAGGGGAGCAAACGGGAUUAGAUACCCCGGUAGUCCUAGCUGUAAACGAUGAUCGCUGGGUGUGGGGGGUUUUUACUCCCUCCGUGCCGAAGCUAACGCAUUAAGCGAUCCGCCUGGGGAGUACGGUCGCAAGGCUG